rnacentral:rRNA from 1 species
AUUGAACGCUGGCGGCAGGCCUAACACAUGCAAGUCGAGCGGAUGAGUGGAGCUUGCUCCAUGAUUCAGCGGCGGACGGGUGAGUAAUGCCUAGGAAUCCGCCUGGUAGUGGGGGACAACGUUUCGAAAGGAACGCUAAUACCGCAUACGUCCUACGGGAGAAAGUGGGUGAUCUUCGGACCUCACGCUAUCAGAUGAGACUAGGUCGGAUUAGCUAGUUGGUAAGGUAAAGGCUCACCAAGGCAACGAUCCGUAACUGGUCGGAGAGGAGGAGCAGUCACACUGGAACUGAGACACGGUCCAGACUCCUACGGGAGGCAGCAGUGGGGAAUAUUGGACAAUGGGCGAAAGCCUGAUCCAGCCAUGCCGCGUGUGUGAAGAAGGUCUUCGGAUUGUAAAGCACUUUAAGUUGGGAGGAAGGGCAGUAAGUUAAUACCUUGCUGUUUUGACGUUACCAACAGAAUAAGCACCGGCUAACUUCGUGCCAGCCGCCGCCGUAAUAC